rnacentral:lncRNA from 1 species
GAAAUUAGGCCCAGAUUGAUAGCAUUGUUAUGGUUGUAUUACUUCCUUUUAUGGGCUAAAAUUCCAUUUUGACAGCCAAGUAAAAUAAUCAAGGAAGCCCAUGUAAAAGGCUAAGCCCGGGGCUAAAUCACCGUUUCACCAAGGAAAAACAACCGAGCCUCCCUGGUUAGCUAAGCUGGAGUUCCAAGUUUAAUUUCUUUCACAAAAUUGCCCCCA